AAAGUCGUAACAAGGUUUCCGUAGGUGAACCUGCGGAAGGAUCAUUAAUGAAAACCAAACGCUUCGUGUUGAAGGGUUGUUGCUGGCAUGAAUAAGGCAUGUGCACACCUGGAUCCCGAACGUUCUUCAUCAUUUCUUAUACACCUGUGCACUAUAUGUAGCUUGUGAAGGGGGGAGGGGGAUGAUCACAGAACUUAGGUUCUGAAUGCCCUCUCUUUCUCUCUCUGGCUAUGAAUGUUUUUACACACACACACCUAUUUUAUAGAAUGUAAUGCUCUGCGUGUAACAGCGCGAAUGAAAUACAACUUUCAGCAACGGAUCUCUUGGCUCUCGCAUCGAUGAAAACGCAGCGAAAUGCGAUAAGUAAUGUGAAUUGCAGAAUUCAGUGAAUCAUCGAAUCUUUGAACGCACCUUGCACUCCUUGGUAUUCCGAGGAGUAUGCCUGUUUGAGUGUCAUGAAAUUCUCAACUGCUUCGGCUUUGUUUUCGAAGUGAAGUUGGACUUGGAGGGUUUUGCUGGUGUGAUCAGCUCCUCUUGAAAUCAUGAAGCCCCCCCUAGUAGAUCUUGGCAUACAAGUAUCUUUGACGUGAUAACUAUCUACGUCGCAGAGAAAAGCCUUGAGCAAGAAAUGCCCCUUUAUUUUUUUGGGGGAUUUUCCUACAUGAGUUGGCUUUAAAAAGUUCUCUUAUCUAUAAGAUA
rnacentral:rRNA from 1 species